GGGACAUACUGUUGAGGUAAUAUCAAGCAUGAGUUUCCAUUUAAAAAAUUACAAUGAGUUGCAUAAAAAGUUUCCUAUCAAUUUUUUUUCUUUUUUUGAAACAGGGUCUCACUCUGUCACCCAGGGCUGGAAUGUAGUGGCAUGAUCAUGGCUCACGGCAAUCUUAACCUCCCGAUCUCCAGCAAUCUUCCCACCUCAGCUUCCUGAGUAACUGGAACUACAGAUUCCACUUCUGCAGGGCUCCAUGGCAGUCUCCAAUCUGUGAAAGCACAGAUUCCUGAAAGGAUGGCCUCAAAUGACCAGGAGUGACUCUCUACAUACCUGCUUCUGAAUGACAACCUAACUGGAGUCUCCAUCAACUGCCCCAUCAUAGACACACCUCCAAUUACCCAACUGAACUUCAUGACCGAUUGGCCAGUCAACCAUGUCCCUGACCCAGCCUACACGAACACUGGAAGGUCAUCAAAAGCAGCAGAGGUGAGGAGGUACCUGCCCUGGGCUACAGAUCUAUAUAGUUCAGCAAUCUCCGCCCCUAGUACUCAAGAAGCUCUAAGCCACCCUUCUGUAAGUCAGAAUGGAAGCACGUGAUACCACAUUUCUAUCUGCUGUAGAGACCCUUCCCAGUGUCUCAAAAUGUUUUAGCAUCUGUCAGUAAAAUUGUUCAAGUUUUUCAGUUAUUGAUAAAAAAAAAAAAGCACCUAUUUAAAGCUCCCUUGAACUCUCUAUUUUAAUGUCUUUGUAAAUUCCCAACAUCUUGUGUUCAUCUUUGUAAUUUAUCUUUAUUAAACUUGUCAUAAACUCCAA